GGGGCCAAGGUCAGGAGUUGAGGAUGAGUGGAGGAGCAGGCCUUCCCUUCACCUCCAGACGACUACAGCAUGUUCCCUGCCCUCCCUGUGUCCGGGCGGAUAGCAUACAUGGUUUGAAGCCCUGGGGUACAGAGUCAGGUAGUCCCGGCUUCACAUCCCAUCUUCCCCACCCAGUUCUGAGCAAGUCCCUGAGCCUCUCUGGUCUUCAGUUUCUUGCAGAGAGAUGGAAACAGAAGCACUUCCCCGGCUGCCACGAGGCUGGAUGGAGGCCACACCUGCGGAGUGCUGAGCACAGCCCUUCCGUGAUCGCGAUGAGCACUGCAAAGACCGUGACAACGGCAGCCCUUGCUGCGACACAAGGAGCAUCCCCGCACCUGGCGCCAUCGCACACACGGCAUGCGUUCACUGGGCCAAGCAAGGGCUUCCAAGGAUGUCAAAAGACAACCCUCAGCUAG
rnacentral:lncRNA from 1 species